GUAGGUGGCAAGCGUUGUCCGGAAUUAUUGGGCGUAAAGCGCGCGCAGGCGGUUCUUUAAGUCUGAUGUGAAAGCCCACGGCUCAACCGUGGAGGGUCAUUGGAAACUGGAGAACUUGAGUACAGAAGAGGAAAGCGGAAUUCCACGUGUAGCGGUGAAAUGCGUAGAGAUGUGGAGGAACACCAGUGGCGAAGGCGGCUUUCUGGUCUGUAACUGACGCCGAGGCGCGAAAGCGUUGGGAGCAAACAGGGAUUAGAUACCCUGGUAGUCCACGCCGUAAACGAUGAGUGCUAAGUGUUAGGGGGUUUCCCGCCCCUUAGUGCUGCAGCUAACGCAUUAAGCACUCCGCCUGGGGAGUACGGCCGCAAGGCUG
rnacentral:rRNA from 1 species